rnacentral:misc_RNA from 1 species
GUGGCUAAACACAAAGAGAAGAAGAAGACGCUAGAGGAACAAAACCCUAGCGAAGUAGAAGGCAAAAUGGGCGAAUCGAUUAAGAAGAAGUCGAAGAAGAAGAAGAAGGAGACGCAUACUGUGACAAUGGAAACCAUCGCUGAAAAUCCUAAUAAUAUUUCUCCGAUGGUUGGUUAUUUUCCAUCAGGUUAUGACCCUUUAAGGAACACAAAUGACGGUGUGGAGGAAUUGAGUACUAAGUUGUAUAGGAAUGUUAGAAGGAAUAAUCGGUUACAGGUUGUGGUGAGCCCUUAUGGGUCGCAGGUCGAUUUUGUUGGGACUAAUUAUUCUGGCGAGGCGACGUCUGCUCAGUUGUGUACUUAUUCGCUUGGGAUACUGGAUAAGGAAACUCAAACUCUCAAGAUUGUUCCUAUUGCAGCUAACAAGAUAAUUAGGUUGGAACCUAGAGUUAGAGGGUCAGAAGUACCGGAUGCUGAAGAUCCAGAUACUGCCAAGCAAGAACUCACUGCAGAAGAGAGGAAUGACAAAAUGAGAGAGUUAACUCAAAUGUACUCAUCAAAGAAGUCUAUACGGCAGGCUAGGAAGCUUGAUUCCCUGCGUCAACAAGAAGAUACUGGAAAUCAAGAGGAAUUUGACAGGAAUAUAGCUGGAGCAAUAAAUAAAGAGGCUCUUGAAGUAACUGUUGCAACAGACAGUGCUCGGAAUAUACCACCACAUGAUCUAGAUGCCACAAUACCCCAGUUGGCAUAUCCACUAGACAGAAUUAUUUCCAAAGGAGAGUGGGAUUUUCUUUUGGAUAUUUUUGAACUCACGGAAGCUGGAGCAGAAAUGACACCUGAUCUUUAUCCAAGCUUUGUUCGCAACAGAUCCUACAAAUUGGAACAUAUACAGGAUGAAGAUGAGAAGAAAAGGCUGGCAGGCAUACUUUCAUUCAUUACUCAUCUUGUUAAGUUCAAGGAUAAACAUUCUAUGGAUGGUGUAUCAUCGGCAAAGCAUCACAAGUUUCCUGGCAUCUUGUCCCAGAAGUUCACUUCAAUGUUUUCCAUUUCAGAUUCAAAAAGGCUGCCGGAAGAGAAAGUAACUCUUCUUAUCAACUAUGUGUUGGUUCUUACUCUCUUUGCUGAUGACUUUCGUAGUGAUCCAUCUGAUAUAGCCAAAGAUUUGAGAAUUAAUGCUGUAGCACUGCGGCCUUUCUAUGAGUACUUAGGUUGCAAGCUUGUUCGUGAGAAAAACAUUGUGUUGGCUACACUUCCUGUUCCGCUUGUAUUUCCAGGUGUAAGGAGGAAGAGAAGAAGGUAGAUUUGGUUUUAACAGGUAACCCUCAGACAUUGAGAGCCCAUGAACUACCAGCAUUCUCUGUUGUCAGUUUUGUCAUAUUUUUUUGCCAUCAAUUUUGAAUAUCUAUGAACUGAAAGUUGAAAACUUGAAUUUUGAUAUGAAAAUUUGUAGUGCAUGGUCUAUAUAUUACAUUUGAUUUGCAGUUUCUCCUGUUAAGAUAGUCAACACAAAAGAAUGAAACCUAGAACAC